rnacentral:sRNA from 1 species
AAACGAUGUCCCGCAGCUGUUGAGGCU